rnacentral:tRNA from 1 species
GGGGGCGUGGUGCAGCGGUUAGCGCGCCGGCCUGUCAAGCCGGAGGUCGCGGGUUCAAAUCCCGUCGCUCCCG